rnacentral:misc_RNA from 1 species
GUCCAACCUUAAUAUAACCAGGGGGUUGAUCGAUAAAUACCUGCUCCUUGAGAUCUCUAUGUAAGAAAGCGGAUUUGACAUCCAAUUGAAAGAUUGGCCAUGAAUUUUGAGCUGCCAAUGCAAUUACCAUUCUGAUUGUGUCAUGCCUUGCAACUGGAGCAAAAACUUCAGUAUAAUCAAUCCCAAACUCCUGCUUGUAGCCUUUAGCUACUAAGCGCG